UGUAUUAUACAUCUACAAGCUGAAUUACUCUACCGCGACGUUUCGAAUGUAUUUUCCACUGUUCCUAUUCAGAUAUGAGCCAACAGCAAAGAGCAGCUGCUCUUUUAAGGCAGGCAGCAGAUUUGUUGAAUGUCAACACGUGACAGGAGUACACAAUACCAGCACCUGCACCAGUAACCUCUGUCAGCAGCACUAGGCAAUUUUUGCACCCGACAGUAAAAGAAGGAGGCAUGGACAUGCAAAUACAGGAACUGUGGCAGUGUCAGCACUGGACUAUUACACCCAGGUGUAAUCAGGUUCCUGGUUACAACUAAUGACCACCUGUUGAAGGAGCUGGACGUUACCAGGGAGAGACACUACCACAAAGGUGAAUCAGACUCACUGAAGCUACAAACAGCUUAAGAAAAACCUUCAGGGACCAGUCUAAAUGUUCUGAUAAUGAUAAUAGAGUGUGUUAGGUGUUUUAUUGCUAACAAUUUUGGCUACUCUGUAUCCAAUAUCUAAAGUGGUAUUUUAUUAAGAUUUAGAAAAAAUAAGACCAAUCUUAAUAAGAAAUAUUCUGCUAGUUGGAACAUAUUGAACUGUUUAUUAAAUCAUGCAGCAAUUUGUUGUUUGCCAUUUGAGCAUUUGGCAUGCUUAAGCUCAACAUAAUAUUUGAGAAAUUGAUUUAUCUCCCAUUAUUUCACUUAUCUUGCAAUGAUUUUACAGGCAUCUUUUUCACACAUCUUGUAGAUUGGUAAGCAGAUAUGUUCUUGCUAGAUUUCAAUGGUGUAAUUGUUUAGUAAAAAUUUCUUGCCCUUCUAUUUUGUUGUGCUGACAUUUAGACAUUAGUUAUAAUUUGUUUGCAGUGAACAGCCUAGGUUAAGUAGACCUGGUACAUGCAUUCAAUCAAAUUAAGCCGCGUUCUGGGGAAAUUGGCUUUAUGCAUGUAUGUGAAGUGUGGUCCACACAUGCUUAUCUGGGACAACACUUUCGGCCUAGACUGGAUUUACUUUUUCAAAAUCUCAUAAAACCAGAAAGUGUCUUCCCUGAUUAGCCUGUGCGGACCGUACAAGUUAAUAUGCGACAACACUUUAGGAACAUGCAUUAAACCCCAUUUUCUCAGAGCAAGGGUCAAUUGUAUACAUUUCCUUUCAAUAUUCACAUGCCCUUUAUUUUAGGAUCAUACAGAUUCUAAAUGCCUAUUUAUUGUAAGCUGAAUAUUCAGUCAUAACCAAAAAGUGUCAUAAGAUCUUUGUUAAGACAGUACCCUGAAUUCUAGCAUUUAAUGAGGUUAUGUGUUUUUUCACACUUAUACUAUGUCUUUUAUAAGUAAAAGUUGAACACUAGCAACAAUAAAAUUUGCUACCAAAAAUGUUUUCCAUUUAUAUUACUUCUUUAACAUGAAAGAAGUUAACAUAUGUAAAACAAAUUUUGGCAAACAAAAUGACGGGUUUUAAUUUCUUUGUGGUUUAUGCAUUUAUUUUUACACAAAUUAUAAAACCAUGAUGAAGUAUAUGUAAUUAACAAAUAUAAAUCAGUUUAUUUAUUGUGCAUCCAGGCAUUUACAUAUAACCAGACAGUAUUGCAAUCUCACAUGUAUAUGUAGGUUUUUAACUUAUCUUGCACCAGUGUAUAGAUUGUUUUGAAAGCAAUUGUAUAAUCAUGUUAAAGUUGCAUAUGUCUAGUCAUAAGCAGUAUGUGUGGGAUACACUAGCAACAGGACCAGAGAGAUCAUUUUGUUUUCAGAUGAUGUUUAUGUGAUGUGUGUUUCAUCCUAAUAUUUAUUUAACCAGUAUGCCAUGUAAUACAUAUAUUUCCAGGUCGCCGUGGUGUAAUGGAUAUAGUGUCCGCCUAGCGACCGGGAGGUCAUGGGUUCGAUCCCCACCGUGGGAGCGUUCUUAAGUUCUCCCCAAAGACACCAAGUACUGGUUCUAGGCCCAGGAAACGGACUCGAGAGCGUUUAUAUAAGCCUAAGGCUUUCGAUGCAAUCGAGCUAAAAUAAAUAGGUUUAAACUAAUACAUAUAUUUCAUAAUAAAAUUGUAAAAAAGGAUAAA